rnacentral:rRNA from 1 species
GACGAACGCUGGCGGCGUGCUUAACACAUGCAAGUCGAACGAAGAGCGCUGGAAGCUUGCUUCUAUCAAUCUUCGUGGCGAACGGGUGAGUAACGCGUACUCAACCUGCCCUUCAGAGGGGGACAACAGUCGGAAACGACUGCUAAUACCGCAUACGCUCUAAUCUCGGCAUCGAGGACAGAUGAAAGGUGGCCUCUACAUGUAAGCUAUCACUGAAGGGGGGGAUUGGGUCUGCUUAGCUAGUUGGAGGGGUAACGGCCCACCAAGGCGAUGAUCGGUAGCCGGUCGGAUAGGAGGGAAGGCCACAUGGGGGCGGGGACGGGGCCCAUACUCCUGCGGGAGGCAGCAGUGGGGAAUCUGCCGCAAUGGACGAAAGUCUGACAGAACAACGCCGCGUGAGCGAUGACGGCCUUCGGGUUGUAAAGCUCUGUUAAUCGUGACGAAAGGCCUUCUUGCGAAUAGUGGGAAGGAUUGACGGUACCGAAAUAGAAAGCCACGGCUAACUACGUG